GUCUAUUGAGAUGAUCAUAUGAUUUUUGACUUUUUUUUUGUUAAUGUGGUGUAUGAUGCUGAUUGAUUUGCGUAUGUUGAACCAUCCUUGUGAACCUGGGAUGAACCCAACCUGGUCAUGGUGUAUAAUUUUUUUGAUAUGUUGUUGGAUUCGGUUGGCUAAGAUUUUGUUGAGAAUUUUUGCAUCUAUAUUCAUCAAUGAUAUUGGGCGAUAGUUUUCUUUUUUGGUGGUAUCUCUGUCUGGUUUUGGAAUGAGGGUGAUGGUGGCCUCAUAGAAUGUCUUUGGGAGUAUUCCUUCUUCUUCAACCUUUUGAAAGAGUUUAAGGAGGAUGGGCACCAAUUCCUCUUUAUAUGUUUGAUAGAAUUCACCUGUGAAGCCAUCUGGUCCUGGACUUUUAUUUGUAGGGAGUGAUUUUAUGACCUCUUCAAUUUCAUUUCUAGUGAUCGGUCUGUUCAGUUGGUCUGUUUCUGCUUGAUUCAGUUUUGGCAGGCUGUAAGAUUCUAGAAAAUUGUCCAUUUCUUCCAGAUUGUCAAACUUGUUGCCAUAUAGUUGUUCAUAGUAUUCUCUUAUGGUUUUUUGUAUUUCUGCUGUAUCCGUUGUGAUUUCUCCUUUUUCAUUUAUAAUUUUGGUUAUUUGGGUUCUUUCUCUCCUCUUUUUAGUGAGUCUGGCCAGGGGUUUGUCAAUUUUGUUCACCUUUUCAAAGAACCAGCUCUUGGUUUUAUUAAUUUUCUCUAUUGUUUUUUGAGUCUCUAUUUUAUUGAUUUCUUCUUUGAUCUUUAUAAUUUCCUUCCUUCUGCUGACUUUAGGACUUUUUUGUUCUUCUUUUUCUAAUUCGUUUAGGUGGAGGGUUAAGUUGUCAAUUUGGGAUCUUUCUUCUUUUUUGAGAAAGGCCUGGAUUGCUAUAAAUUUCCCUCUGAGCACUGCUUUCGCAGCAUCCCAUAGAUUUUGAGAGGUUGUGUCUUCAUUAUCAUUUGUUUCAAGGUAGUUUUUAAUUUCCUUCUUGAUUUCCUCAUUGACCCAUUGGUUUUUUAGUAGCAUGUUGUUUAGUCUCCAUGUAGUAGGUUUUUUCUCUUUCCUUUUCCCAUGGUUGAUUUCUAAUUUCAUGGCAUUGUGGUCAGAGAAGAUACUUGAGAUAAUUUCUAUGCUCCUAAAUUUAUUGAGAUUCGCUUUGUGUCCCAAUAUGUGGUCGAUUCUUGAGAAUGUUCCAUGAGCAUUUGAGAAGAAUGUGUAUUCUGAUUUUUUUGGAUUGGUUUUGAUUUGCAUUUUUCUAAUAAUGAGUGAUGUUGAACAUCUUUUCAUGUGUUUUUUGGCCAUCUAUAUGUCUUCUUUGGAGAAACAUCUGUUUAGAUCUUCUGCCCAUUUUUUGAUGGGGUUGUUUGUUUUUUUGGUAUAGAGCUGUAAAAGGUGUUUAUAAAUUUUGGAGAUUAAUCCCUUGUCCAUCGAUUCACUUGCAAAGAUUUUCUCUCAUUCUGUGAGCUGUCUUUUCAUUUUGUUUAGGAUUUCCUUUGCUGUGGAGAAACUUUUCAGUUUGAUUAGGUCCCAUUUGUUUAUUUUUGUUUUUGUUGUCAGUACUCUGAUAGGUGGCUCUGAGAAGAGGUUGCUGUCGUUUAUGUCGGAGAGUGUUUGGCGCAUGUUUUCCUCUAAGAGUUUUAUAGUGUCUGGCCUUAUAUCUAGUUCUUUAAUCCACCUGGAGUUAGUUUUUGUGUAUGGUGUUAGGGAGUGUUCUAAUUUCAUUCUUUUCCAUGUGACUGUCCAGUUUUCCCAGCACCACUUAUUGAACAAGCUGUCCUUUCUCCAUUGUAUAUUCUUGCCUCCUUUGUCAUAAAUUAGUUGGCUGUAGGUGUGUGGGUUUAAUUCUGGGCUUUUACCCUGUUCCACUGAUCUCUAUUUCUGUCUUUGUGCCAGUACCAUACAGUUUUGAUGAUUGUUGCUUUGUAGCAUAAUCUGAAGUCUGGGAGCCUGAGUCCUCCAGCUCUAUUUUUCUUUUUCAGGAUGUCUUUGGCUCUUCUAGGUCUUUUGUGCUUCCAAACAAACUUUAAGAUAUUUUGUUUGAGUUCUGUGAAAAAUGUCCUUGGUAAUUUAAUAGGGAUUGCAUUGAAUCUGUAGAUUGCUUUAGGUAGUAUAGUCAUUUUGAUAAUAUUGACUCUUCCAAUCCACGAGCAUUGUGUAUAUUUCCAUCUAUUUGUGUCAUCUUUGAUUUCUUUCAUCAGUGGCUUAUCGUUUUCAGAGUACAGGUCUUUUGUCUCUUUAGGUAGGUUUACUCCUAGGUAUUUAUUCCUUUGGAUGCAACUGUACGUGGGAUUGCUUCCCUAAUUUCUCUUUCUGCUUUUUCAUUGUUAGUGUAUAGAAAUGCCAUAAAUUUCUGUGUAUUAAUUUUGUAACCUGCAACUUUGCCAAAUUCAUGCAUGAGCUCUAACAGUUUUCUGGCAGAGUUUUUAGGAUUCUCUAGGUAUAGUAUCAUGUCAUCUGCAAAUAGUGAUAGUUUUAUGUCUUCCUUUCCAAUUUGGAUUCAUUUUAUUUCUUUUACUUCUCUGAUUGCCAUGGCUAGGACUUCCAAAACAAUGUUGAAGAAUAGUGG
rnacentral:lncRNA from 1 species